rnacentral:rRNA from 1 species
CAUCACUACGCUAGAUGCAUAUCAAUAAGCGGAGGAAAAGAAACUAACAAGGAUUCCCUAGUAACGGCGAGUGAAGCGGGAAGAGCUCAAAUUUGAAAUCUUAAAGGUUUUACCUUGACGAAUUGUAGUUUAAAGAAGUGUUUUCUGUUGGAGUUUCGGUAAAAGUUCUUUGGAAUAGGACAUCAUAGAGGGUGAGAAUCCCGUAUUUGACCGUUACUUCCUAGCUGUGUGAUACACUUUCAACGAGUCGGAUUGUUUGGGAAUGCAGUCCAAAAUGGGUGGUAAAUUUCAUCUAAAGCUAAAUAUUGGCGAGAGACCGAUAGCGAACAAGUACCGUGAGGGAAAGAUGAAAAGAACUUUGAAAAGAGAGUUAAACAGUACGUGAAAUCGUCAAAAGGGAAGCGUUUGACACCAGUGUUGUUUAGUUGAAAAUCAAUUCAAUAAUUUUUGAUUUUGAGUAGUAUUGACUUCAUCAGCUUGCUGCUUUCUUUUCGGAAAUUAUUGAAUGCACUUUUCAGUUAACAAGUCAACAUCAAUUUCUUUUGUUGUAAAAGGGUAAGAGGAAGGUGGCUUACGCUUCGGCGUAAGUGUUUAUAGCCUUUUACCUCUGCAAUCGGAGAGAUUGAGGACAGCAGCGUAGACUCCUUCGGGGGUUAGAUACACUUGUGCUAAGCUAUAGCCUUGUAUAGACAACUUGUUGACUAUGCUCAGUCAUGUAGCUUACUCGCUUGUGCUAUUUUACCUACGCUUAGGAUGUUGACGAGACUGUCGAUCUC